rnacentral:rRNA from 1 species
GACGAACGCUGGCGGCGUGCUUAACACAUGCAAGUCGAACGGUAAGGCCCUUCGGGGUACACGAGUGGCGAACGGGUGAGUAACACGUGGGUGAUCUGCCCUGCACUUCGGGAUAAGCCUGGGAAACUGGGUCUAAUACCGGAUAGGACCACUGCCUGCAUGGGUGGUGGUGGAGAGCUUUUGCGGUGUGGGAUGGGCCCGCGGCCUAUCAGCUUGUUGGUGGGGUGAUGGCCUACCAAGGCGACGACGGGUAGCCGGCCUGAGAGGGCGACCGGCCACACUGGGACUGAGCUACGGCCCAGACUCCUACGGGAGGCAGCAGUGGGGAAUAUUGCACAAUGGGCGCAAGCCUGAUGCAGCGACGCCGCGUGAGGGAUGACGGCCUUCGGGUUGUAAACCUCUUUCAGCACCGACGAAGCGCAAGUGACGGUAGGUGCAGAAGAAGGACCGGCCAACUACGUGCCAGCCGCCGCGGUAA